rnacentral:rRNA from 1 species
UUGAACUGAAGAGUUUGAUCAUGGCUCAGAUUGAACGCUGGCGGCAGGCCUAACACAUGCAAGUCGAGCGGAUGAAGAGAGCUUGCUCUUGGAUUCAGCGGCGGACGGGUGAGUAAUGCCUAGGAAUCUGCCUAGUAGUGGGGGACAACAGUUGGAAACG